UACGUAGGGUGCAAGCGUUAAUCGGAAUUACUGGGCGUAAAGCGUGCGCAGGCGGUUGUGCAAGACAGAGGUGAAAUCCCCGGGCUUAACCUGGGAAUGGCCUUUGUGACUGCAUGGCUAGAGUGUGGCAGAGGGGGGUAGAAUUCCACGUGUAGCAGUGAAAUGCGUAGAGAUGUGGAGGAAUACCGAUGGCGAAGGCAGCCCCCUGGGAUAACACUGACGCUCAUGCACGAAAGCGUGGGGAGCAAACAGG
rnacentral:rRNA from 1 species